UUAGGUUCAGGCUCCCUGUGGUGGUGGUGGUGGUGGUACGGGGGGUUCUGGAUAGCAAAGUAAAGAAGCUAAUGAGACAAGAAACCUUGCCUCAUAGUUUGGAAAACUUCAUCACUUCCCUGGGUCUGGGCCAAAGCAAUCAUUUUAAGGUGCUUGGAGUGGGGAAGGGGGACUGAGAGGAGGGUGGUUUGCUGCGGGUUUCUCCUCCCAGACUUGCCAGCUGCAGACAGGAUAGGUUAAUGAGCCGUGGAAGCAGAAUUCACCCAGGAAAUGAUGUGGGGCCACCCUACACCUGUUCCCAAAGGCUGUGGAGCUCCAGGCUUGGAAUGAGUGAAAUCUGAAAACUCACUACCUAUUUGGGGGCUCCCACUCCUCUCUUCAGACAUAAACAGAGAGAUGGGAAAGGACUUGGCAGGAACCCAUGGAUUGAGGAGGAUAGCAAUGAGGGCAGGAAGAGGGAAGGGGAAUUAGAGGAGCUGUGCUUUAUCUGACUCCCCACAUAGGUACACACACACACACACACACACACACCCCCACACACUGCACUUACAGCUCAGGAGCUGGGGAGCUGAGUUCUCAUGCCUGUUCUGCGGCUCAUGGUGAGCCAGUUGCUUCCCUUGUCUAGGCCUCAGUUUGCUCAUGUAUACAUUUUAGGAGAAGGGCUAGAAUCUUUCGGGCCCUGCCUGCAAAGGUCCAGGAAUUUGCUAUCCCCACCCAAGUAUGAACUCUCUGAGAGCAGGGAUUUGGCUUCAAUCUCGUGGAUGACUGGUCACCCGAAACCCAGCCAGCCUCAGGGAGGGUCCAGCAAUGCUGGCUUCUGCUGCUGCUGCUGUCCCUAGAGCUGAAGACUGGCCACAAAACCAGAGGCAUUUCCUAAUGUGUGAGCCUCUGCACUGGCAGAGGCUGCACGGGAACCAGAAGCCUAAAUUCCCAAGCGGGCAAAUUACCCAGUGAGCACCCUGCACCCUAGUGCCUCGGGAUCAGUCCAGGAGAUGGGGCAGAGGAGGACACAUCUGCCAGGUGGCUCCCAGGGUCCCACCCCCGAGUCAUUCUCAUACCCAGCGCCACUGUGAAUGUCUUCCGCUUUAGCUUAAUUAAGCCAUCUGCCCACAUUAAAUGGUAAAUUAUCUCAAUCACUCCCUGGAUCCCAGAGGGGAGAAAGAGAUGAAAGGGAAAUGCCAUCCCUUGAGUGGAGCUGGAGGACUCUGCCCCGCCUAUGAUGACUUCUGCCUCAGCGAGGACAGCCUCCAGUGUUUACAAAUCCUUCCGUGUCCUUGAAACUCUAACUCCACCUGUCAUCUCUCUGCUUCUUUCUUUUCCUAUAGGGAGGAGCGAGGCUCUUGCAUGUCUGACCAUGGGUAGGAAUAAAGAUGAGAGCUUUUCUGUUUUUCCUCUACCUGAGGGGUGCUUGAGUGUCUGUAAUGUUGCUCUCUUCCAAUAAGCCUGUUAUUUUUUGCACCCCUGUCAGCUCUCAGUUCUGCUGAGGAAGCCCUGUGCUCCCAGUGAAGUGACCUGUGAACACCACUCUGCUCUGCAGGCAUGUGGCCAGAGGCUGGAGGAUGGAGGGAUCUCAUUACAGGCAUCUGUGGGAGCCCCCCUCCCAAGCUCUGCUGGACUGGAGGCACUGGAGUAGAGUGGAAUGGAAGAAAUACACAGACUUUGGAUUCAGACCCUGGCUCCACAGCUACCAGCUGCAUGACUUUCCGCAAGUCACUGAACUGCACGACCAGGGGCAGAUGAAGGAACAGGCAUAGAGAGGUGAAGUGACUUUCCUCAGGGCCUAAAGCUGGGUUGGUGAAUUCAAAAUCCAGGACACUAACCAGUGCGAUUCAGCUCCAGAACUGACACUUAGCCAUGUCACCAUAGCUCUCCAUGCUUGCCUAAGUUUAUACAUACAUCCAUCUUUGUUUCUCUCCUUGCCUCUCAUUUAUCUGACCGGUGAUACUGUGGAGAAAGUUAAAGAAAAGUUCCCCAGUGGUGGGAGUGGGGAGACUUUCCUUCCUUCCAAGGCAGUGAACCAGAGGCAGUGAAUCCUGGCUCUGCCACUUUUCAGCAAGUGACCUUGGGCCAAGUUAUUCAACCUCCCUCCUCUCCUCGGUUUCAUCAUCUGUAAAAUGGAGGUGCCACCAGCACCAACUUCAUUGGGUUUCUGUGAGUUAUGAGUUAAUGUUUUUGUAAAGUGGUUAGAGAAGUCCAUUUCUAUUACUAAAUUUGGGCCUUCGGCUGUUUGAGGUGACUGGGGCUAAGUCUAGAGGGUGGGUGAAAGCAGGCACUAUCCUGGGGGAACACAGAAGGAAAGAGCCCUGGAUGGGCUGGGGGAGGUUGGGUGGAGAGAGAAACUGACGGAGAAUCGGGAUGACUUUUGGUGGGAUCUGACCCUUUCAAGGAGUCACAGUUUCUCUGAGUUAAAAGUAUCUAUCUAGGGCAUCUAAUCCAGUCAAGCAGUGGAGCAGACACAAGUAUCUAGUCUCAGCCAGAGGCCUUGGAAGAUGAAGAAUUCCAUUUCCUAAGACUGGGGGCACACUGCAUUAAAAUAAAUGAUACUUGGCAGGCUGGAGUUGAGGGAGGUUCUCUCUGGCCUCUUGAAGAAACUAGACAGCAGGGAUAUAGGGUCCAGAUGCCUUUACACCUGGCCUCAAUUUGGUCUCAUAUUCUGUUCUCAGGAACAAUACAAAUUUGUAGCAGAACUGUAUGAGUUGCAAGCUGAUGGCACACUGAUAAUAAUAGCUAACACUUAUGAGGGAUUCCCAUGCACUAGAUGCAAUUCUGAAUGCUCACUUGUGUUAACUCAUUUACUUUUUACAUCAUUGCUUUAAUGGUAUUAGCCCCACUUUACCCAGGAGGAAAUGGAUGCACUCGGAAGUUCAAACACUUGAUCAUCCUCAUGCAGCAAGUUAUGAACCAAAUCACAGGAUGAGAACCAGACCCUCUGACUCCAGGAGCAGUAUUCCUAACUGUUAUAAAAAGUCAGCCAUAGGUGGAUCACUUGAGGUCAGGAGUUCAAGACCACCCUGGCCAACAUGGUGAAACCCUGUCUCUAC